GACAUCUAUAAAUAACGUAGAACAACUGCAUGAUUGUGGUAAGUUAAUUUCGUCUGUUUACCAAAAAAAAAAAAAGUCAAUAUCAUCUAUCUCAUCAUGGAAGAGUUCUAUGGUGCAUCUUCUUUUAGAGUCUAUACUAAGGCUGAUACCGGUUUCUCUCUCACUGUCCGUAAUGGAGAAGUAGUUCUUGCUGAUUAUGAUCCAGCUGAUCCAUUUCAAGUGGGUUCUCUUUUCUUGAGUUAUUAAUGGUCAAAAAUAGGUCGAUUUUUUGAGUUUCAUAGCAGGGAUGGCAAAUGGACAAACUCUAUGGUUAUUCGUACAUUUUAUCUAUGUUAAAUGAGUUGGAUUGGAUAUCCAACUCAUUUAAUAGUGGAUCGAAUAUGGAUCAACUCAUAUUAUCCAUUCUAAAUAUGGAUAACCCAUGGAUAUCGAGUUGCUGCCAUAUGACCAAGAGUUCACGGGUUCAAGCUUUGAAAACAGCCUCUUGCAGAAAUGAAAGCACUGGUAUAGAGAUGCGAGGUAAGGUGAGGAUGUGAGGGAUCGAGAUGGUUAUCCAAGCUUUACUCUGGUUAAUAAAGGUGCAGGACUGGCUCUGAAGCACGCUGAUAGCCCCCGUGAAAAUGUGCAGCUCGCGGAAUACGACCCUAGCGAGGUUGAUGUAUCAGUCUUGUGGACAGAGGGCGACGACCGUGGUGAGGGUUUUCGAGCAGUUAGGAUGGUCACUGACAUUUCCCUCAAUCUAGAUGCAUGGGGUGCUGAUAAAGAGACUGGAGAAGGGAUCGUUGACGGGAACAAUGUUGCUGUUUGCGAAUGGGCCGAGGGAGAAAACCUGAACCAACUCUGGUUUAUCGAACCCUACUGAUAUCUUGGCUUGAGAAUCAUGGUUGGAUGAGUUCAAUAAAUGGAGUUGAUGCUUGAUUUUUUUUUCUUCCUUUUCAUGCGGCUUGUUAUGCAUGCUGUACUGUAUUCUAUCUCACUCCAAAAAAGUAAAAGUAGAAUGAAAAUAUGGGGGGAAAUGCUAUGUAUACUGUAGAGCAUGUGUAACUUGUACUAUUUUUUUGGCUCUGUUAUAGAAAAUAAAAGUGUCUAGAUGAGAUGUAACAAGGUCAAACACAAAUAAUGUCAACUCAACAUUGAAUGCUUCAAUUAAUUGAGAAAAGUUUCAUUUUGCCUUUGUA